UACAGGGGGUGCAAACGUUGCUCGGAAUCAUUGGGCGUAAAGCGCACGUAGGCGGUCUGUUAUGUCGGAUGUGAAAGCCCUUGGCUCAACUAAGGAAGUGCAUCCGAAACUGGCAGGCUGGAGUACUAAAGAGGGUCGCGGAAUUCCCGGUGUAGAGGUGAAAUUCGUAGAUAUUCGCAAGAACACCAGUGGCGAAGGCGGCUCACUGGCCCGGUACUGACGCUGAGGUGCGAAAGCGUGGGGAGCAAACAGG
rnacentral:rRNA from 1 species